UUUGAUGGCGACCGGCGCACGGGUGAGUAACACGUAUCCAACCUGCCGAUGACUCGGGGAUAGCCUUUCGAAAGAAAGAUUAAUACCCGAUGGCAUAGUUCUUCCGCAUGGUAGAACUAUUAAAGAAUUUCGGUCAUCGAUGGGGAUGCGUUCCAUUAGGUUGUUGGCGGGGUAACGGCCCACCAAGCCUUCGAUGGAUAGGGGUUCUGAGAGGAAGGUCCCCCCACAUUGGAACUGAGACACGGUCCAAACUCCUACGGGAGGCAGCAUG
rnacentral:rRNA from 1 species